rnacentral:rRNA from 1 species
UACGGAGGGGGCUAGCGUUGUCCGAAGUUACUGGGCGUAAAGCGCGCGUAGGCGGGUUGGUAAGUCCGCUGUGAAAGCCCGGAGCUUAACUCCGGAGGGUCGGUGGAUACUGCCAGUCUUGAAGGUGCUAGGGGGAGAUGGAAUUACCGGUGUAGCGGUGAAAUGCGUAGAUAUCAUUUGGAACGCCAAUGGUGAAAACAGCUCGCUGGGGGUGCACUGACACUGAGACACGAAAGCCAGGGGAGCGAACGGG